UACGUAGGGUGCGAGCGUUGUCCGGAAUUAUUGGGCGUAAAGAGCUCGUAGGCGGUCUGUCGCGUCGAAUGUGAAAACCCGGGGCUCAACUCCGGGCUUGCAUUCGAUACGGGCAGGCUAGAGUUCGGUAGGGGAGUCUGGAAUUCCUGGUGUAGCGGUGAAAUGCGCAGAUAUCAGGAGGAACACCGGUGGCGAAGGCGGCACUCUGGGACGGUACUGACGCUGAGACGCGAAAGCGUGGGGAGCGAACAGG
rnacentral:rRNA from 1 species